rnacentral:lncRNA from 1 species
UUAGUCAAGCAAGACUACAAAUAGGUGAUCACAGAGCGUCGAUGCGGGAGAGCUUGGAAAAAUCAGUGCUUUUUCGAGAUUGGAUCCGCGGAGAAAGAAGGAACUUUGGCAUAGCAGAAUCACAACCAGAAAUAGAUAGGCGUAUGAAGAAAUGAUAGCAGAACUUGCUGAGGAAGCAACUUCACCCGGAAGUGGUGAUGAACAAGCUUCAUUUCCACCACCGCCAACACAACCAGCUCCCAACCUUGACGGUUUUAUGAGAUUUGUUAGAAAUAAUACAUAAAUUAUGAUGUAACUUGUACAUUGGCACGUCUUCUUUUAGUUUUUCUCCUUUUAAUGGUGGUAUUAGUACCAUAUUGU